UGGUUAAGCUGAUAAGAGCACAGGGCGGAUGCCUUGGCACUAAGAGCCGAUGAAAGACGUGAUAAGCUGCGAUAAGCUUCGGGGAGAGGCAAAUACUCAUUGAUCCGGAGAUUUCUGAAUGGGGAAACCCGCCUGGGAAACCCUCAGGCAUCCAUACGCCAAUUCAUAACGUAUGGAAGGGAACCCGCUGAACUGAAACAUCUAAGUAGGCGGAGGAAGAGAAAGAAACAUCGAUUCCGUAAGUAGCGGCGAGCGAACGCGGAAGAGCCCAAACCGGGAUGCGUGCAUCCCGGGGUUAAGGACUGCAUAAGCGAGCUGGUUCGUUAAUGGAACGGCCCUGGGAAGGCCGGCCGGAGAGGGUGAAAGCCCCGUACAUGAAAACGACAGGCAGCGGCAGGAUCCAGAGUACCACGAGACACGUGGAACCUUGUGGGAAUUCGGGGGGACCACCCCCCAAGGCUAAAUACUCCUUAGUGACCGAUAGCGCAUAGUACUGUGAAGGAAAGGUGAAAAGAACCCCGGGAGGGGAGUGAAAAAGAACCUGAAACCCUGUGUUUACAAGCUGUGGGAGCGCGUUAAGGCGCAACCGCGUACUUUUUGUAGAACGGUCCGGCGAGCUGCGGAUGCUGGCAAGGUUAAGGGCUUA
rnacentral:rRNA from 1 species